GACGAACGCUGGCGGCGUGCUUAACACAUGCAAGUCGAACGGAAAGACCCUGCUUUUGUGGGGUGCUCGAGUGGCGAACGGGUGAGUAACACGUGAGUAACCUGCCCUUGACUUUGGGAUAACUUCAGGAAACUGGGGCUAAUACCGGAUAGGAGCUCCUGCUGCAUGGUGGGGGUUGGAAAGUUUCGGCGGUUGGGGAUGGACUCGCGGCUUAUCAGCUUGUUGGUGGGGUAGUGGCUUACCAAGGCUUUGACGGGUAGCCGGCCUGAGAGGGUGACCGGCCACAUUGGGACUGAGAUACGGCCCAGACUCCUACGGGAGGCAGCAGUGGGGAAUAUUGCACAAUGGGCGGAGGCCUGAUGCAGCAACGCCGCGUGCGGGAUGACGGCCUUCGGGUUGUAAACCGCUUUCGCCUGUGACGAAGCGUGAGUGACGGUAAUGGGUAAAGAAGCACCGGCUAACUACGUG
rnacentral:rRNA from 1 species